UAGAAGUCUAAUAGAUUGACUGUGAGGUACAUGAUAUUCAGUUUCCACAUACUUAAUGCCCACUCUAACAUUCCUAGAUUGGUCCACAGGUUAUAGAAUAUCAAGGCAGGAUUUUGACAUUCCAGAGGAGGCCUGGUAUUUGUUGAAAACAUCCAGUCUCGGAGAUGGGUGAAACUCUGACAUCAUCUGAGAAGACGGCUAGUGUGUUCCAACUGUGCACAGUGUCAGAUGAGAACGUUUUAAGUGGGAGGCAUUGUUAACAUGAGAAGAAAGAAGUGUAUGUAUGUUGGAGGAGCCAAAGAUGUGAAA
rnacentral:lncRNA from 1 species